rnacentral:rRNA from 1 species
CCUACGGGAGGCAGCAGUGAGGAAUAUUGGUCAAUGGACGAGAGUCUGAACCAGCCAAGUAGCGUGAAGGAUGACUGCCCUAUGGGUUGUAAACUUCUUUUAUAUGGGAAUAAAAUGUUCCACGUGUGGGAUUUUGUAUGUACCAUAUGAAUAAGGAUCGGCUAACUCCGUGCCAGCAGCCGCGGUAAUACGGAGGAUCCGAGUGUUAUCCGGAUUUAUUGGGUUUAAAGGGAGCGUAGGUGGAUUGUUAAGUCAGUUGUGCAAGUUUGCGGCUCAACAGUAAAAUUGAAGUUGAAACGGGCAGUCUGGAUUACAGUAGAGGUGGGCGGAAUCCGUGGUGUAGCGGUGAAAGGCUUAGAUAGCACGAAGAACUCCGAUUGCGAAGGCAGCUCACUGGACUGCAACUGACACUGAGGCUCGAAAGUGUGGGUAUCAAACAGGAUUAGAUACCCUGGUAGUC